ACGCUCGACACCUACGGGAGGCAGCAGUGGGGAAUAUUGCACAAUGGGGGAAACCCUGAUGCAGCGACGCCGCGUGAGCGAAGAAGUAUCUCGGUAUGUAAAGCUCUAUCAGCAGGGAAGAAGAUGACGGUACCUGACUAAGAAGCACCGGCUAAAUACGUGCCAGCAGCUGCGGUAAUCUGAGCGGGCUGGCAAGGC
rnacentral:rRNA from 1 species